rnacentral:tRNA from 1 species
GUUUCUGUAGUGUAGUGGUUAUCACGUUCGCCUCACACGCGAAAGGUCCCCGGUUCGAAACCGGGGCAGAAACG